rnacentral:lncRNA from 1 species
AUAUUAAAAUUCUAAAUAUCGUUUUUAAAUUUGAUAGUUUAGAAAUUUGAUCAAACUUUAAAAAUACAAACCUAACGUGCAAUUUUGAUUAUUUCACUUUUUGAAAGUUUGAUUUUUUAAAUUUUUGAUUAAGAUAUCAGAAAUAGAAAAGGGGCGAAAAGAGGGGUACCUGUAAACUGCAAAACGAAAAAAACGGAACGAAACGAGACAAAAUGAAAUGAAAACAUACUGAUACUUAAAAGUUAAUGUAUUAAACAACAACACAGGCAGACAGUUGUAAGCGGUAAAAAAAUGGAUGACAGAAAUAAAUAUUUCUCAAAAGAAGAGAAUUCAUUUUAAAACAAGACGCACGGCUCUGAUAAUGACCAUUAUACUUGCUGGUUUUCUCUGCACCCAUAUUUUAGGAGUAACAGUAAAAACUGACCAACUCGC